AUAUCUUGGCAUCUCAUUCUUUGUUCGAGAGAGUUUUUGUGCGUAAUAUUUUCGUGAAGCAAAAGCAAUGGUUCAAACAACUUGAAAUGAUAAAAAUUCCCCAUGAAUCCUGUCUCAGUGAUUCCCAUAUUCUCUGUAUCUGGUCUUCAUGUGUUCUGCAUGAAAUCGUCUAUAUUUGGAUUUAGUGGCCUGAAAGCUUCGCGUGCAAUAAUAUGGCAGUCUAGGGCAUUGUUUACAAGGCAUUUUUGUUAUAUAGACGCCAGCUUGGUGUCAGAAAUUUGCCAAAACUUAAGAGAGGGCAAAUGGGAUUGCUCGAAGCAGAACACAAUGAAAUUACCUGCAUUGUCCCCAUUGAAAAUCACCCAAGUUCUCCUACGAACACAAUCAGAACCAGCAAUAGCGCUGCACUUCUUCAAGCAUUUAGAACAUCAAGGUCUUAGACACGCUAUGCAGAGCUGGUGCACAAUGGUUCAUAUCUUGAGUUGGGCCGGAAUGUUCUCUGAUUCGAUGGCCCUGCUGAAGCAUUAUCCUGUAACUGGGUCUGAGACCUGCAGUCAGAUUUUUGAUGGACUUUUAGAAGCAGCGUCAAGUGGGUGCAAUUGGGAUCCUGUGGUUUUUGACAUGCUGAUUAAGGCCUAUGUCCAGACAGGAAGGUGUGGAGAUGCUGUGCAGAUAUUCAGGUUCAUGGAAGAAGCAGUUUUGGUGCCCCAUAUCAGCUCCUGCAACUGUCUUCUCAAUGCACUUUUGAAGUCCAAAAGAAUCAAUCUGUUCUGGGAUAUAUAUGCUGAAAUGGGUAAGAGGCAAAUUCCUCCGAACGCUUUUACGUUCAAUAUUAUGAUUCAUGCUCUCUGCAGAGAUGGUAACCUGGAAAGAGCAUAUGAGUUCAUGAAUCUAAUGGAAGAAUCGGGCUUUCAGGCUGAUAUUGUGACAUAUAAUACUCUCGUGGAUGGGUAUUGUAAAACGGGGAAGUUGGAGGAAGCUUUUAUGCUCUAUAGGCUUAUGUAUAGGAGGGGUAUUCUGCCCAACGUGGUUUCCUAUACUGCUCUGAUAUGUGGACUGUGCAAGGCUGGGAGGGUGAAAGAAGCACAUCAGAUGUUUCAUAGGAUGACUCACCGAGGUCUGAUGCCGGAUGAGGUCACUUUCAAUUCUCUGAUUGCUGGGUACUGCAAACAGGGCUGUACAAGGGAGGUGAGGUAUCUGUUUUAUCAGAUGCUUGACAGAGGUUUGAUGCCUGAUUGCAUUACCUGCAAUGCCUUGUUUGAUGUUUAUUGCAAGACAGGACAGAUCAAGGCGGCUUUGAAAUUGCGCAGUGAGUUGCAGAGUAGAGGCAUAUUGACCAGGGGUAAAAGUUAUCAGGUCCUUCUUGAGGCCCUUUGUAGCCAUGAUAGAUUUGAUGUAGCUGAUGCGCUCUUGAGGAAAAAAGUAGGGGAAGGGCUGGAUCCUGGUAGAGAUAUUUAUGUUGUGCUGAUUGAUGGACAUUGUAAACAAGGCAAUUUGGAGAAAGCUCUAAGAUUGAAAGAUGAAAUGAGAGCAAAAGGUCUUGGACUUGAUUUAGUUGUUUACAAGACACUUAUUGAUGCACUUUGCAGGACCGAGAAGAUUGUUGAAGCAGAUGAACUUGUACAGGAGAUGAUCAUGUGUGGUCUUGCCCUAGACAGUUAUAUCUGGAAAUGUUUAUUUCAUGGAUUCUAUAAGAAUGGAAAUUUAGGAAAAGCAGAACAGGUUUUGGAGAGAAUGGUAGAAGCAGGUUCUAUUCCUGACCAUGCUAUUUAUAAUUCAGUAAUUGACGGACACUGCCAGCAAGGCAAUUGGCAAAGGGCAUACAAGUUGCAGGAUAAAAUGUUGAAGAUGGGUAUAAUUCCAACUGUUCUUACCCAUAAGGCCCUGAUUCAAGGUUUGUCAAGAAAUGUGAUUAUGGAUCCAAAAUUUUAAGAGCUCAAACAAAGAAGUGAUUAUGCAAAACAAAUAUGAACUUUGAAUUAAGUGUUGCUUGGCCAUUACAAUUGCUAGUUCAUGCUGCAAAAAUAUUAAUGCAAGAUUGCAAGCACAUAGGAAAAAACUAUUGAUUUGCAUCUACUGCGGUAAGGUAUAAGUUUGGCCUUAGUAAUGAUCUCCCCUACUUAAGUGCAAGACAGGAAUUACUUCCGUUAUUAUAAGUUGGUACAAGAUUUUCAAGGCUUUUUUGGAAGGCUGAAGAUAUGUUUCAAACUUGCAAGGCUAAAAUUGUCUGCAAUGCAGGAGAAAUUACUCCUGAAAAAGUACAGAAAAUUGGAAUUUGUUGUAUUUAUACAAGGAGCAGUUAGGACAUGCGGUGUCAGGGAAUUUUUAUAUAGAGCACCUAUUACUGACCAGAUAUCUGGAUUCUCGAUGCUUGGGCCAUCUUUGACAAGAGAACAGAAGUUCAAUCUGCAUCAUUUUUUCGUAUCAAAGCAAUCUAUGAUGGCCUAGAGGGGAGUCCAUGUGAAUUAGGGAGAAGGGGCAGGAGGAAUGUAGGUCCUUGAAGAAACACUGGGCCAGUGUUUAGAUGGCUAGAGGGCAGAGGCCCUUGAGGCCAGAUUACAAAUGGAUGAGUCUGAAGAGGAACAAGAGAACUUAGUAAAUGCUGCUAGGGCUUUAGAACCCUUGGAGAGGCUUAUUACAGCAUUGACUAACAAAGUUCAAAAGUAAAGGUGGAUACUUCAGAUUUUAAAGGCAAGGUCAACCUUGAUUAUUUCUCAAAUGGAUUGAGGAGUUGGAGAAGUACUUUGAGAUGGAGGACAUGGAAGAAGAUGAUCCAAAAACAGUGAAAUUGCUGCCUCCAAGUUGAAGUCAUAUUCAGCCCGGUAUUGGCAAGAUGUGAAAAGUUCAAGAAGCCAAGGAAAAGAAAAAAUUGAACUUUGGCCUAAGAUGUCAAAACAUUUAAAAUCUCAAUUCUUACCCUUAGAUCACCAAUAAAAAUUGUUUUAAUAAUUUCAAAAUUUAAAACAAAUGGAUCAGUCAUUGUAGACGUAUACCGAACAGUUUAUGAGAUUUCAAAUUUGGACAGAGAUAUAGGAGAGUGAAGGACAAGUGGCAGCCCGGUAUAGUUCCUAAUGUAGAUGAGGCAUAUGAAUACGCCUUAUAAAGGCAAAGGAGAAACUAAAUAAAAAAAAAACAGCUAGUAAAAGGGGUGAUAGCAAUCAAAAUAAAGGGAAAGAGGUUUCUCUAGAGCCUACCACAAGUGAAUAGUUAGAAAAGGAAAGAACGGGAAGGCUGACUUCAGAGGAAGGGGAGGCUUUGGAGGUAGAAGACGAGGACAACAACAUUUUGUAGAGUGGAAGCCUUUGUAGUCUUUUAUUUGUGAUCAAGCCCAUUAGUCCAUGGACUACCCUCAAAACCCCAAAAGGGUAAUGGUAGCCCAUGAACAAGAAAAACCUUGAUGAAAAGAAGUUGAAGCUAAGUUAGGAGAGAAAUUGAUGUUGAGAACCUUAAUAUUUGGGACUCUAAAGUUGAUUGGAAGAGGAAGAGUGUCUUUUGAACAAAAUGAAUAUAAGGAAAGAUGUGUAAAGUGAUUAUAGAUGGUGGAUUUACCAAUAAUCUGAUAGGUAUAGAUAUGGACGAUAAAUUACAGCAUGCUUGCAUUCUGAAAGCUAACCCCUACAAGGUCUCUUGGUUAAAGAAGAGUCAUAGUGUUCUUGUGGAUAAAUCUUGUUGUUACCUUCAAAAUUGGGCCAUAUGUGUAUCAAGUGCUUUGUGAUGUGGUGUCAAUAGAUGCUUGCCAUUUGUUGUUAGGUAGGCCUUGGCAAUAUGACAAGAAUGUAAUCCAUCAGAAUACCUACAAGGUUCAGCAUGAAGGAAAUAAAACACUUUUACAGCCGUGGAAAGAGGAAGGAGCAUUUGAAGUGGUAGCUAUGUCUCUUCUAGCAUAAGCUAGAUUUGAUCUUGAAGAGAAAAGUGAAAUUCUAGAUCAGCCAAGGAGUUGAAGGCAAAUCUGGGAGCAAAAGAGACAAAUCAUUUGAAGAAUGAAGUACAACUGUGAUUUGAUAUGGAGCUGCAAUGUGAUUCAAUUGACAAGAUUAUAGGUGAACCUCAAAAGCUAGCUGUUGAAGUUUCAGUUGACUGUAAUGGGGUGGAAGGGAAUAGUGAAUUGUGGAGAUGAGCAUGGUUAUGAAAAAUCUUCCUUGGAUGUGAAAAAAAUUUGGUUGAAAGUGACUGCCUAACAGAGUAAGAGACCAGUGAUACGAAGUGUGGUUGGAAUGAAGGAAAAUAUUUCAAGUCUAUUAGUGAUUAUUAUGUUGAUUCUACAGUAUGGACUUUGCAUAGUUUUAUUGGUCCAACUUAAUGGUAUUGAAUUCCUCACUCCAGGAGAACUGGAGUUGGAAGCUUUAGCUAUGGCUCAGAAUUGUUUUAAUGAAUCCCAAGAAAAUACCUUGAUGACAGGCCUAAUGAUAGGUCUGCUCACUCAGAUUAGUGGCAAUGUAGUCUAGUUCUUCUGAACUGGCAGGUUCAAACUUCAAACUUUUUGAAGAUGGGAAAAAUAAUGUUAACUGCCAAUUAAUUGAUGGGUUACCACCACCCGUCAGUUUUUUUCUAUUUUGUAGCUGUUCUAAGUUAUUGGAUUGUAACUGUUACAGAUGGCAGUUCCUUUUUUUGGUCUUUUGUGGUUCCUUUUGGGGGAGUGUUUCUUGGUGUCGAUUAGAGGGGAAGGUUUCCGGGCUGUAGCUAGUUAUUUUGUGUGAGGAUUUUUCUGUGAUCAAUAUUUUGGAUUUUUGUUAAUGAAAAAUCAGUCAAUAUUGUUGUC